ensembl:snRNA U6 U6 spliceosomal RNA
GUGCUUGCUUCGGCAGCACAUAUAUUGGAGCCAUACAGAGAAGAUUAGCAUGGCCCUGCACAAGGAUGACACGCAAAUUCGUGAAGGGUUCCAUAUUAAA